UACGAGGGGUGCAAGCGUUGCUCGGAAUCACUGGGCGUAAAGGGUGCGUAGGCGGCUUGGUAAGUUGGGUGUGAAAGCCCCGGGCUCAGCCCGGGAAGGGCACUCGAAACUGCCGAGCUGGAGUGCCGGAGGGGGAGAGUGGAAUUCCUGGUGUAGCGGUGAAAUGCGUAGAUAUCAGGAGGAAUACCGGUGGCGAAAGCGACUCUCUGGACGGCAACUGACGCUGAGGCACGAAAGCGUGGGGAGCAAACAGG
rnacentral:rRNA from 1 species